rnacentral:ncRNA from 2 species
CAAGAACCCAGUGGUGAUUUGGCCGGUCUGAUUGCAGCCACUUAAAACAAGUCGCUAAAGGGACCCGUGCUCGAACCG